AUGGCCAUGGGGACUAGGCGCGCCGCUCUCUGCUUUCUUCUGCUAGUCGCCGUCUUCUUACAAGGCAAUCCUACAUUGGUUUCAGCGGAUGAGGAGUACAAGUAUAGGAUUCCGUAUGUACCCUUCUGCAAGGGGUGGAGCUGCAAGGUGGAGUGCUGGCUGGAGGCCAAGCUCUUCCGCACCCGUCUGCAGGAGCGCAAGUGCAUCAGGGGCGGCAUCAAGGGCGCCUGCUACUGCCUCUUCUGCGGGAAGCACCUCCAAUGA
rnacentral:rRNA from 1 species